rnacentral:rRNA from 1 species
CCUACGGGAGGCAGCAGUGGGGAAUAUUGCACAAUGGGGGAAACCCUGAUGCAGCGACGCCGCGUGAGUGAAGAAGUAAUUCGUUAUGUAAAGCUCUAUCAGCAGGGAAGAAAAUGACGGUACCUGAGUAAGAAGCCCCGGCUAACUACGUGCCAGCAGCCGCGGUAAUACGUAGGGGGCAAGCGUUAUCCGGAUUUACUGGGUGGAAAGGGAGCGUAUACGGCAGUGCAAGUCUGGAGUGAAAGGCGGGGGCUCAACCCCCGGACUGCUCUGGAAACUGUACGGCUGGAGUGCAGGAGAGGUAAGUGGAAUUCCUAGUGUAGCGGUGAAAUGCGUAGAUAUUAGGAGGAACACCAGUGGCGAAGGCGGCUUACUGGACUGUAACUGACGUUGAGGCUCGAAAGCGUGGGGAGCAAACAGGAUUAGAUACCCCUGUAGUC